AGGAAGAUGGAAAGGGAAUGACCACCUUCUCCCCUUCUCAGAGCCUUUAAGCUUCAUGAUGCUCCUGCCAUGACUCCAGUGGAGCCAUGGGCUUUCCAUAGCACCCAACAGAGCACGAGCUCAUCGGUCACUGGGUCAAGUGUGGGGCCACAACCCUUCAGCCACUGCAGUGACAGACAUGGAGGAAGCAGGCCAGCCUGGGACUGCUUGUACUCUGCCAGUCCUUUUCCCACAUCCAUGGCCUGGGAGGCAGCAAUGCCCAUGGGGCACCAGGCUACAAGACCCCAGGCCACCACUGCAACACAGAAGACAACUCCACUGCCUGAAUCCCGAUCUGUGCCCCUGCAUGGAGGGGAUUCUGCUGCACUUCCUCUCCCAUGCAGACCCCAUCCCUGCUUGCACUCCAUCCUGUCAGGCAGCAGCCUUUUCUUGGGCAGCAGGCUGAAUGAUGAAGGUCAGAUGCACGUCCACCAAGGCUUGGGCAUCCCCAGAGCAGGACAGAAGGGCAAAGGGGAAGAGGUGCAGGGUUGGGAUGGAGAUAAGCAGGUUAGACAGGGACGGAGGGAUGGGAGAGGAAGGAGGGUGCCUGCCCUGGCUGCCUCCCCCCGCCCUCCCUUCUUUGCACACAAGGCCUCCCCGCUCUCAUGUGCACUCUCCAGCUUCUGGCAGCCUUUCCGAUGCGCGUUUCCACUCCUCUCUGGCCCAUUAGCAGUAUUUUUAUAACAUUCUGUAACGCACAGAGCCGUGUGCCAAACCUCAA